rnacentral:misc_RNA from 1 species
AACGCACCUUGCGCUCCUUGGUAUUCCGAGGAGCAUGCCUGUUUGAGUGUCAUUAAAUUCUCAAUCUUAACAACUUUGCGUUGUCUAGAUUGGAAGUGGGGGUCUUUUGUGUGGAUUCCAAUUCCUCACUCCCCUUAAAUGUAUUAGCUGGAAUGCCUCUGCAUAUCUGACUAUCAGUGUGAUAAUUAUCUAUGCUGUAGUUGUUGCAUGAGGGUAUCUGCUUCAUCAAUCGUCGCAAGACAACUAUUGACCAUCUUGACCUCAAAUCAGGUAGGACUACCCGCUGAACUUAA